rnacentral:SRP_RNA from 1 species
ACUGGAAAGAGUAGCGCCUUUCUGUAAGCAGAGUUGCAGUCUUUAAGAGGAUGAAUUCAUCUGUUGGUGGAACAAUGGUGUAUUCAGUGCUUCGUCGAAGUCAGUGUCUUCCAGAGUCUGGUGUCAACAUUCGAGCCUGGACGUAGGUUUAGGCUGGGAGGUUGUUCAAUACUGGGGAACCGCCCGAGGCUAGCAAUAGAGCAGGGAAAACCCAGAGCACUGGCACGGCUGUAAGAUAGCACGAUGGAGGAGUUACUUGGAUACGCUACCACUACGGGUGGGAACUACCCUUUUGCUU